rnacentral:rRNA from 1 species
UACGAAGGGGGCUAGCGUUGUUCGGAAUCACUGGGCGUAAAGCGCACGCAGGCGGAUCGUUAAGUCAGGGGUGAAAUCCCGAGGCUCAACCUCGGAACUGCCUUUGAUACUGGCGAUCUUUGAGUCCAGGAGAGGUGAGUGGAACUCCGAGUGUAGAGGUGAAAUUCGUAGAUAUUCGGAAGAACACCAGUGGCGAAGGCGGCUCACUGGCCCGGUACUGACGCUCAGGUGCGAAAGCGUGGGGAGCAAACAGG